UUACGGCCACAUCACGUUGAAACACCGGUUCUUGUCCGAUCACCGAAGUUAAGCAACGUUGAAUCUGGUCAGAAGCUAGAUGGGUGACUAAUGGUGAAUACCAGGUGCUGUAA